rnacentral:rRNA from 1 species
AUUGAACGCUGGCGGCAUGCCUUACACAUGCAAGUCGAACGGCAGCGCGGACUUCGGUCUGGCGGCGAGUGGCGAACGGGUGAGUAAUGUAUCGGAACGUACCAUUCAGUGGGGGAUAACGCAGCGAAAGUUGCGCUAAUACCGCAUAUUCUGUGCGCAGGAAAGCAGGGGAUCGCAAGACCUUGCGCUGAUUGAGCGGCUGAUAUCAGAUUAGCUAGUUGGUGAGGUAAAGGCCCACCAAGGCGACGAUCUGUAGCGGGUCUGAGAGGAUGAUCCGCCACACUGGAACUGAAACACGGUCCAGACUCCUACGGGAGGCAGCAGUGGGGAAUUUUGGACAAUGGGCGCAAGCCUGAUCCAGCCAUGCCGCGUGAGUGAAGAAGGCCUUCGGGUUGUAAAGCUCUUUCGGCCGGGAAGAAAUCGUAUGAGUUAAUACCCUGUGCGGAUGACGGUACCGGCAUAAGAAGCACCGGCUAACUACGUGCCAGCCGCCGCGGUAACAC